GACGAACGCUGGCGGCGUGCUUAACACAUGCAAGUCGAACGGAAAGACCCGGCGUUUGUGGGGUGCUCGAGUGGCGAACGGGGGAGUGACACAUGAGUAACCUGCCCUUAACUUUGGGAUAACUUCAGGGAACUGGGGCUAAUACCGGAUAGAAUAUCCUGCUGCAUGGUGGGGGUUGGAAAGUUUCGGCGGUUGGGGAUGGAUUCGCGGCUUAUGCGCUGGUUGGGGGGGUAGGUGCUGACCAGGUCUGUGACGGGUAGGCCGCCUUAGAGGGGUGCCGGCCUCAUUGGGCCUGCGAUACGCACCAGACUCCUACGGGACGCAGAAGUCGGGAACCUGGCACAACGGGGGGACGCCAGAUGCAGCAACGUUCCGUUCGUGAUGACCUCUUUUUGGUUGUAAACCGAUUUCUCCUGUGCCGAAGCGGGAUUGACGGUAACGGGUAAAGAAGCACCGGCUAACUACGUG
rnacentral:rRNA from 1 species